rnacentral:lncRNA from 1 species
UUUUAAUUAAAAUUACGAAAUUAUUUAAGUAUUGUAAGACAUGCAAAUGUAAAAAAGUAUUUAACAACCGUAAUCCUGAAUUUUCAAUAAAUGACAUUGGAGUGACUUGUGUAAAUCCGAAGUAAGAAUUCUUCGAGUGUUUUAACACUUCCUAAUGAAAAUAUGUAUUUAGACCACUCUGAUUGUGAUUUUUCAUGGCAUAUAUGGAGCAACACUUGGUUUAUUUGGUAAAUUCCAAUAUGUGUUAAUUCACCAAAAUAUAUGGAUUAAUAACACAAAAAAACAAUAGUUAAAGAUACUCUACAGACUGCUCAAGAAACCGAAUUUCCAACUUCAAAUGCUUAUAAAGCACCUAAUGAAUAAUUAACGAAUGACAUUGGAUUGAGUUGGGAAUUGCAACUAGUUCCACAACUCCCUUUAGGGCCCAUCUAUGCGAAGAUCACACGUAAUGUAACAAAUACAGAAGCGGAACUCGGUUAAUUUCGGAAUUGGUUUCCACCAUCGUUAUCCAGGCAGUUGAGAAAUGAAACAUUUCAAGCAAUUUGGGACUAUGGAACUCCAUGGGAUUGAAGAAACACAGUUUCAACUGCCUGGACGAAUUAAAUUCUCUUUAUUCAUCUUCUUUUAGGCUGUUUAGUAUAUCCUUGGUGUGAACUCAAUAAACCUACAACUCUUUUGUUGUUUCGGAUGGUUUUUGAGGUUAUAAGUAAUAAUGUUUAACAUUAGGUUAUGGCUAACUACAAGAAUGGAUUCAGGAAACAAAUCGCCAAAUUCUACACGACUUAGUGAACAAUAAAUAAAAUAUUAUGAAAUUAAUUUAAAAAAAAAUGAGUUUUAUUAAUAAAAUCCCACCUCUAUGAACCUAAUUGUGACUUUUCCCAAAUUGUGCAAUACAUUCCGAGUUUAGACGCUGUUAUGUUAUUGUGUUUGUAAUUUGAAUGUUUUUAUUUGUAGAGUAAUACCUGACCAUAAAUAUGUCAGGCUCAAUGUCCAAAUGUCAUUUAUAAUUAAUUAGCUUUACUGUAAUA